GGGGUGUGCCCAGAGCAGGGGCCUAAAGAAUUGGCUUCUCUAUUUGCAAUACACCCAACAGGAAUCUGGGUUAUUGUGACAGGGGCACACAACUUGUGGCCUUCCUAUGAAGAAAUAUUCUAUACAG